UUCUAUAUCGUUAGCACUUUGUCACAACAAAAAUACCAGUAAUUAACGAGGUCUUGUAAAGAAAAAAUUCUUGUCAUACCCAAACAAGAUCUCUACCAACGAGUUAAUCUCCGUGAUUUAUAAAUAAUAAGCUACAAAGGGAAUCUGUUGCUUGUUUCCUUUCCUGUUGCCGCAAUAGUUUGUCUUGGUACACACUCUGCAUUUGUUACGGAAAUGUUUGUCAACCUGUAAAACGUGGGGAGGUUUGUGUUUAUUGCCACACCCUGUAUUCGAACAACUGUUUGCUGUUUUCUCCCCUGAGUUAUUGUCAGACUAAUAACAAGAUUACCAAACUAUGGAAAUUUAUGCUUUGAUUAUAAGACUUGGCAGCAAUAAAGGAAGUGAGACAAGAAUUUGGCAGAGUCUACUAAAAGAGUUUUACGAGAAGCACAUUGAAUUGUAUAGAAAUGGCAUUCACUGUAAGAGAAAAGGCGUUUUGUGUGUUGGAGUAUGCUCGAACACAGUCGAAGUAGACUGCAGCGUGCAUUUGUGAGAGAGUUCUCUAAAAAGUCACCAACGGCAAUGCAGAUUUGGACAUGACACAAAAAAUUCAAAGAGGAAGGCUGUCUGUGCAGAACAAAAGGAUCUGGAUGAACACUAACAUCGGAAGAGAUGGUCAAGCGGGUUUGCUAAAAACUCUUGCGAAGCCCCUCAAAAAGUCCAUAAGAACAAGUCUGGAAACACGAAUUCCUCCAACAACAGUUUGGUGCGUCCUGAAGAAACGCUUGCUAACGAAACCCUACAAGCUGCAGCUUGCUCAGGUCAUAACAGCAGAUGACAAGCGAAAGCGCAAACAAGGGGGUUAUGUGAAGGGCCUGGUCUAUGUCCCCCUUCUUCCUGCAAACCUAGAGGAACUCGAGCAGAGAAUCACUACCGCACUGGAGACUGUUACCCAAGACAUGCUGCAGCGUAUAUGGGAGCAGCUAGACUACCAACUUGACAUGUGCUGUUUCUCAGGCUGUGUGCAUAUUGAACAUUUGUGAAAUUGUUCAUGGGAUCCACAUACUUUUGAAUUUUUCAUUCAAAUUUGGAGGAAUAAAUCUUAUGCUGCUCAA